GACGAACGCUGGCGGCGUGCUUAACACAUGCAAGUCGAACGCUGAAGCUUGGUGCUUGCACUGGGUGGAUGAGUGGCGAACGGGUGAGUAAUAAGUGAGUAACCUGCCCUUGACUCUGGGAUAAGCCUGGGAAACUGGGUCUAAUACUGGAUACGACAUGUCACCGCAUGGUGGUGUGUGGAAAGGGUUUUACUGGUUUUGGAUGGGCUCACGGCCUAUCAGCUUGUUGGUGGGGUAAUGGCUCACCAAGGCGACGACGGGUAGCCGGCCUGAGAGGGUGACCGGCCACACUGGGACUGAGACAUGGCCCAGACUCCUACGGGAGGCAGCAGUGGGGAAUAUUGCACAAUGGGCGGAAGCCUGAUGCAGCGACGCCGCGUGAGGGAUGACGGCCUUCGGGUUGUAAACCUCUUUCAGCACGGAAGAAGCGAAAGUGACGGUACGUGCAGAAGAAGCGCCGGCUAACUACGUG
rnacentral:rRNA from 1 species